rnacentral:rRNA from 1 species
GACGAACGCUGGCGGCGUGCUUAACACAUGCAAGUCGAGCGGUAAGGCCCUUUCGGGGGUACACGAGCGGCGAACGGGUGAGUAACACGUGGGUGACCUGCCCUCAGCUCUGGGAUAAGCCUGGGAAACUGGGUCUAAUACUGGAUAUGACUCCACGGUGCAUGUCGUGGGGUGGAAAGCCUUGUGCGGCUGAGGAUGGGCCCGCGGCCUAUCAGCUUGUUGGUGGGGUGAGGCCUACCAAGGCGACGACGGGUAGCCGGCCUGAGAGGGCGACCGGCCACACUGGGACUGAGACACGGCCCA